UGAAUUCGUAGUCAUAUGCUUGUCCCAAAGAUUAAGCCAUGCAAGUGAAAGUUCAGCCCAUAAACCGAAACUGCGAAUGGCUCAUUAUAUCAGUUAUGAUUUACUUGAAGAUCGAUUGCACAUGGAUAGCCGUGACAAAUUCAGGAGAUAAUACAUGCACGAAGUCCCAACUCACGAGUGGAUGUGCUCAUUAGAUCCAAACCUCGUCCUGCUUGCAGGCGCGGUGAGUCAUAUGCAUUAUUCGGACCGCAAAACUUUGCUAGGCGGCACUUCAUUCAAGUAACUGCCCUAUCACGUUGUCGGUAGUGUCUUGGACUACCGAGCGGAUGACGGGUAACGGGGAAUUAGAGUUCGAUUCCGGAGAAAGAGCAUGAGACACGGCUAUUACAUCCAAGGAAGGCAGCAGGCGCGCAAAUUACCCAAUGGGCAUAUGCCUGAGGUAGUGACAGUACGUAGCAAUGGGGCGCACGAGCAAUGUGACCUAAUUGAAAUGAGAAAAAACUAAAGCACUGAAUGAGGAACGAUUGGAGGGCAAGUCUGGUGCCAGCAGCCGCGGUAAUUCCAGCUCCAAGAGCGUAUAUUAGAGUUGUUGCAGUUAAAACGUGCGUAGUCGAAGCUGAGGGGUGCCGCAGCUUAGAACUCGUCCCUUGUGGGCGGGCCUCACUGUGGUGGUCCCCUUAUUCACCUGCCUGCCGACGGCGGCCUCCGGGUUUGCUUUCCCUUACAGGGUGGGCGGCAGGUGAUUUACCUCGAACAAAUGAGCGCGCUUGAGGUAGGCCAGAAUGUUGCCUGAAUCAAUUAGCAUGGAAUAGCAGAUGGACAGCGAUGUCUGUUUGUUGGUUUGAGACGUUGCUGUAAUGAUUAAUAGGGGUACUCGGGGCCAACCGUACUCUGGGGAUAGAGGUGAAAUUCUAUGACCCCCAGAAGACGACCGAAUGCGAAAGCAGUUGGCAAGGGUAUCUUCAUUGAUCAAGCACGAAGGGUGGGGGAGCAAAGCCGAUUAGACACCGUUGUAGUCCCACCAGUAAACGAUGCCGACGCGACCUUGGGUGUCUGAGGACACAGUGUUCGGGGGCGUAUAGAAAUUAGAGUCUUUGGGCUCUGGGGGGAGUAUAGUCGCAAGUCUGAAACUUAAAGGAAUUGACGG
rnacentral:rRNA from 1 species